AGUCAAGUGAUGCAUUUAAUGAAAUGAGUGUAAAUGAUCGGCAUAAUAGGACAAAAUCGUUAAUGAAUUAAAUAUUUAAUUACAAACAUCAUGGAUAAUCUACAGAAUUCAAUAUUUCACAAGGAGCAAUCAUGGAACUAAGGAAAACUUGCGUGAAGUUCCCCGGGAUAAUGGUUAGCAACGUCCGGGGAUAUGGGUUAGCAACACCCAGGGGCUAUGGGUUUUGUAACGACGUGCG
rnacentral:lncRNA from 1 species